GACGAACGCUGGCGGCGCGCCUAACACAUGCAAGUCGAACGGAGCAUUGAAGCUUGCUUUAAUGCUUAGUGGCGAACGGGUGAGUAACACGUGAGCAAUCUGCCUUCGAGUGGGGGACAACAGUUAGAAAUGACUGCUAAUACCGCAUAAGCGCACAGGACCGCAUGGUCUGGUGUGAAAAACUCCGGUGGUAUAAGAUGGACCCGCGUCUAAUUAGCUAGUUGGUGAGGUAACGGCUCACCAAGGCGACGAUCAGUAGCCGGCCUGAGAGGGUGAACGGCCACAUUGGGACUGAGACACGGCCCAAACUCCUACGGGAGGCAGCAGUGGGGAAUAUUGCACAAUGGGCGAAAGCCUGAUGCAGCAACGCCGCGUGAGGGAAGACGGUCUUCGGAUUGUAAACCUCUGUCCUUGGUGAAGAACAAAUGACGGUAGCCUUGGAGGAAGCCACGGCUAACUACGUG
rnacentral:rRNA from 1 species